rnacentral:lncRNA from 1 species
UCCAAAUACGCAGCCGAAACCAUCGCUCUUGCAGGUGCAGCUUUUCUCUGCCUCUCCUAUGUGGAAAGCAGCGCAGCGUGGACUCCAGCCAAACUCCCUCGAUUGGAUUGCAGCUCUCUGGCUCUCUGUCCCUGUGACCUUGGGCAGUUUACCUCCUCUAUGUCUCAGUUUCCUCAGCUGUGCAAAGGGGUUACUGAUCCUGCUUAAUGGGAGCUGUGUGUAACGGGACGUUUAAUGAGCCUUUUCCUGUUACCCUGGAAUUAGUGAGUCAGGGCACAAAGGUGAGUACCCAGAGGCAUUCAGUAUCCCACACUGUAAAGGCAGCACAACAUGGCAGCACCCAGAGCUUAUUGUUAGAGGGCUGAAGAGCCAGCCCUGCCAUUCUGAACCACCACCACCCUACCCUCAGGCUUACAUAACUGGACAACGGGGGAGGGAUGGGGCGGGAGGAAGGGUAAGAGUUUCCCUAAGCAGCUUCCUGGGUGCAGAAAUAGGGAGGGUGCGGUGCUAUUACUAAAGCCAACAGGGUGUAGCUCAAAGAGAGUUACCAUAAUGACUUCAGAUGCCUAAAAAAGAGAGGCUGGCAUCUUCCCUGAUUGGAUGUCUGCUUGGACAGUGUGAGCUUGCUAGACUGCCUUUAUACCUGGCUUUGAAGAAAUCUAGAAAACUCAGAGACCUCUGGGCAAGGGUCUUCAGGGGGCUUCCCUGUCAUUGCUUGUGCUGUCCAAUGCCAGACCACAUCCACUAGGCAAGAGGCUGUGGAGCAAACAGCAAUAGGGAGUAACACUGAUGGCAAAGCUAGUUGGAGUUGGGAGUGAAGGAGGUUGAGCUAGAGCUCGUUUCCCAUAUCAGAACACUCUAUACUGAAGAUACCCUGCAGAGCCUUUGGAAAAACUUACAUGAACUCCCCAUGAAAGAAGGUCAGUGGGGCUGGGCGCGGUGGCUCAUGCCUGUAAUCCCAACACUUCAGGAGGCCAAGGCGGGCA